UAGCGGAGGAAAAGAAACCAACAGGGAUUGCCUCAGUAACGGCGAGUGAAGCGGCAAAAGCUCAAAUUUGAAAUCCCCCCGGGGAGUUGUAAUUUGAAGAUUGCGUCUUGGAGGCGACCGUGUCUAUGUUCCUUGGAACAGGACGUCACAGAGGGUGAGAAUCCCGUGCGGCACGGCCCCCGGCUCCUUAUAAGGCGCUCUCGACGAGUCGAGUUGUUUGGGAAUGCAGCUCAAAGUGGGUGGUAAAUUCCAUCUAAAGCUAAAUACAGGCGAGAGACCGAUAGCGAACAAGUACAGUGAUGGAAAGAUGAAAAGCACUUUGAAAAGAGAGUGAAACAGCACGUGAAAUUGUUGAAAGGGAAGGGCAUGCCGUCAGAUUGUCAGUGUGGGUAAGAAGCGGGGUACAAAGACUGUGGAACGUGGCCCUCGGGUGUUAUAGCCGCAGUUCAUGCCCCGUCUCUUUCCGAGGCCUGCUUUGAGGACACCGACGUAAUGACGGUACGCCGCCCGUCUUGAACCACGGGCCAAACAAG
rnacentral:rRNA from 1 species